UCACAAACGAAAAAAGAAAACAAAAGCAAAAGGAAAAAAAGAAAAAACCAAAAAGCCUUCUCUCUCUCUUGUCUUCUCUCUUUUCUUUCACUU
rnacentral:ribozyme from 13 species